rfam:Cricetulus griseus cell line CHO-K1, whole genome shotgun sequence.
GCUUCUUUGGCAGUGUCUUAGCUGGUUGUUGUGAGUAAUAGCGAAGGAAGCAAUCAGCAAGUAUACUGCCCUAGAAGU